GAGACGCUGGAGAAGGAUGUUCCUUGAGGGCCGGGUCCUUGAGGAGAAGCCCUGCAGGCUUUUCCUUUUGGCUAUGGAGUUGGUGCUAGUCAAAUGCAUGGCAGACAAAUGGAUGUGCCUGCUCAUGAAUCAGGAAGUGUGGGCUUGCCUGGAAGACCCCCUGGCUUACUCUGACAGGUGUGUCUCCUGACAAGGUUCUUGACGUGUGAAUAAACUAAACAAACACAGAUGCCCUCAACUAAAUGAGUCACUAGGCCCCUCUUACAGUGGCCUUCCACGUCUAGUUACCCCAUUCUGAAGCAGGUGCCUGGAGAAGAAACUUUAAAGGUGCAAUUCAGCCAGCCUGUUUCUUGAUGCCAACAGCAGGGUGAUUCUUGGUUGACCUACUCAGAUAGCUUUAUUGUGAUUUUUUCUAAAGUGAAGUGAAAUUAAACCCACCCUGGGUGUCUGGUCUCUGCUCCACCCCAGCCAUGCUUCUGACCCCCCCCUGCUGCUUUUUUUCCUCCUUUAUAUAUAUUUUUAUUUCUACAUUUAUAUGUGUAUUUAUUAUUUAUAUAUAUUUAUAUACUAAAUAGUAUGUAAGGUUAUAUAUUACAUUAUAUUAUAUAUAACUAUAUUGUAUAUUAUAUAUUAAAUUCACUCUAUAGCUCUCUA